GGUGGCUCAGUGGUAGAGUGCUUGCCUCGCAUGCAUGAGGUCCUGGGUUCAAUUCCUCAGCACCA
rfam:Dipodomys ordii contig_78005, whole genome shotgun sequence.